GGUGUGGCUCAGUGGGUAGAGCGUCGGCCUGCAGGCUGAAGGGUCCCGGGUUCGAAUCCGGAGGGGCACCG
rnacentral:tRNA from 1 species